rnacentral:rRNA from 1 species
AUUGAACGCUGGCGGCAGGCCUAACACAUGCAAGUCGAACGGUAACAGAAAGCAGCUUGCUGCUUUGCUGACGAGUGGCGGACGGGUGAGUAAUGUCUGGGAAACUGCCUGAUGGAGGGGGAUAACUACUGGAAACGGUAGCUAAUACCGCAUAACGUCGCAAGACCAAAGAGGGGGACCUUCGGGCCUCUUGCCAUCGGGUGUGCCCAGAUGGGAUUAGCUAGUAGGUGGGGUAACGGCUCACCUAGGCGACGAUCCCUAGCUGGUCUGAGAGGAUGACCAGCCACACUGGAACUGAGACACGGUCCAGACUCCUACGGGAGGCAGCAGUGGGGAAUAUUGCACAAUGGGCGCAAGCCUGAUGCAGCCAUGCCGCGUGUAUGAAGAAGGCCUUCGGGUUGUAAAGUACUUUCAGCGGGGAGGAAGGGAGUAAAGUUAAUACCUUUGCUCAUUGACGUUACCCGCAGAAGAAGCACCGGCUAACUCCGUG